CCUAUACAUGCAGUCGAACGAGUUCUGAUUAUUGAAAGGUGCUUGCAUCUUGAUUUAAUUUUGAACGAGUGGCGGACGGGUGAGUAACACGUGGGUAACCUGCCCUUAAGUGGGGGAUAACAUUUGGAAACAGAUGCUAAUACCGCAUAAAUCCAAGAACCGCAUGGUUCUUGGCUGAAAGAUGGCGUAAGCUAUCGCUUUUGGAUGGACCCGCGGCGUAUUAGCUAGUUGGUGAGGUAACGGCUCACCAAGGCAAUGAUACGUAGCCGAACUGAGAGGUUGAUCGGCCACAUUGGGACUGAGACACGGCCCAAACUCCUACGGGAGGCAGCAGUAGGGAAUCUUCCACAAUGGACGCAAGUCUGAUGGAGCAACGCCGCGUGAGUGAAGAAGGCUUUCGGGUCGUAAAACUCUGUUGUUGGAGAAGAAUGGUCGGCAGAGUAACUGUUGUCGGCGUGACGGUAUCCAACCAGAAAGCCACGGCUAACUACGUGCCAGCAGCCGCGGUAAUACGUAGGUGGCAAGCGUUAUCCGGAUUUAUUGGGCGUAAAGCGAGCGCAGGCGGUUUUUUAAGUCUGAUGUGAAAGCCCUCGGCUUAACCGAGGAAGUGCAUCGGAAACUGGGAAACUUGAGUGCAGAAGAGGACAGUGGAACUCCAUGUGUAGCGGUGAAAUGCGUAGAUAUAUGGAAGAACACCAGUGGCGAAGGCGGCUGUCUGGUCUGUAACUGACGCUGAGGCUCGAAAGCAUGGGUAGCGAACAGGAUUAGAUACCCUGGUAGUCCAUGCCGUAAACGAUGAAUGCUAGGUGUUGGAGGGUUUCCGCCCUUCAGUGCCGCAGCUAACGCAUUAAGCAUUCCGCCUGGGGAGUACGACCGCAAGGUUGAAACUCAAAGGAAUUGACGGGGGCCCGCACAAGCGGUGGAGCAUGUGGUUUAAUUCGAAGCAACGCGAAGAACCUUACCAGGUCUUGACAUCUUUUGAUCACCUGAGAGAUCAGGUUUCCCCUUCGGGGGCAAAAUGACAGGUGGUGCAUGGUUGUCGUCAGCUCGUGUCGUGAGAUGUUGGGUUAAGUCCCGCAACGAGCGCAACCCUUAUGACUAGUUGCCAGCAUUUAGUUGGGCACUCUAGUAAGACUGCCGGUGACAAACCGGAGGAAGGUGGGGAUGACGUCAAAUCAUCAUGCCCCUUAUGACCUGGGCUACACACGUGCUACAAUGGAUGGUACAACGAGUUGCGAGACCGCGAGGUCAAGCUAAUCUCUUAAAGCCAUUCUCAGUUCGGACUGUAGGCUGCAACUCGCCUACACGAAGUCGGAAUCGCUAGUAAUCGCGGAUCAGCACGCCGCGGUGAAUACGUUCCCGGGCCUUGUACACACCGCCCGUCACACCAUGAGAGUUUGUAACACCCGAAGCCGGUGGCGUAACCCUUUUAGGGAGCGAGCC
rnacentral:rRNA from 1 species